rnacentral:rRNA from 1 species
AACCCUAACUAAUAAACCUCGGCGUAAAAGGUGUUUUAGGAAAAAAUAAAAAAUAAGACUAAAUUUCACCUAAGUCGUAAAAAACUCUAGGCGAAACAUGAAACACGAGCUAAAGCCGUCUUAACCUACCUGAACACACGAAAGCUAAGACUCAAACUGGGAUUAGAGACCCCACUAUGCUUAGCCGUAAACAUAAAGAUUUUACAACAAAAAUUUUCGCCCGAGAACUACUAGCAAUAGCUUAAAACUCAAAGGACUUGGCGGUGCUUCACACCCACCUAGAGGAGCCUGUUCUAUAAUCGAUACACCCCGAUCCACCUCACCACCUCUUGCCAAUU